ACGAACGCUGGCGGCGUGCUUAACACAUGCAAGUCGAACGGAAAGGCCCUGCGUUUGUGGGGUGCUCGAGUGGCGAACGGGUGAGUAACACGUGAGUAACCUGCCCUUGACUUUGGGAUAACUUCAGGAAACUGGGGCUAAUACCGGAUAGGAGCUCCUGCUGCAUGGUGGGGGUUGGAAAGUUUCGGCGGUUGGGGAUGGACUCGCGGCUUAUCAGCUUGUUGGUGGGGUAGUGGCUUACCAAGGCUUUGACGGGUAGCCGGCCUGAGAGGGUGACCGGCCACAGUGGGACUGAGAUACGGCCCAGACUCCUACGGGAGGCAGCAGUGGGGAAUAUUGCACAAUGGGCGGAAGCCUGAUGCAGCAACGCCGCGUGCGGGAUGACGGCCUUCGGGUUGUAAACCGCUUUCGCCUGUGACGAAGCGUGAGUGACGGUAAUGGGUAAAGAAGCACCGGCUAACUACGUG
rnacentral:rRNA from 1 species